AUGAUGAAGGCCUACGAUCGAGUUGAGUGGCAUUUUCUUGAGGCCAUUCUAACAAGGCUAGGGUUCAACAUGAUCUUUACUCGUUUGAUAAUGAAGUGUGUUACUUCAGUCAGGUUCUCAAUUCGGUUUAAUGGAGAGCUUCAGCCUUUUUUCACACCCUCACGUGGAUUUAGGCAAGGAGAUCCACUGUCUCCAUAUCUCUUUUUGAUAUGUGCAGAAGGCUUCUCUUCGCUGCUAAAGUCUCAUAUUGGAGGACAUAUCGAUAGAGGUAUUCGAGUAAGUUACAAAUCACCUUGGGUGUCACAUUUACUGUUUGCAGAUGAUAGUUUGAUUUUCAUCAGUGCAACUAAUCAAAGUGCUAUUCGAUUGAAUGAGAUUCUCAGAAUUUAUAGUGAUGCUUCUGGACAGUGUGUCAAUCGCGACAAAAGUUCUAUCUAUUUUAGCUCUAACACACCAGCACACUUGAGACAGCAGCUAAAAGCAGUCCUGAACAUUUCUGUGGAGGCAUUUAGCGAGCGAUAUUUGGGGCUGCCAACUGCUGUUGGGCGGAUUAACAGUGGCACUUUCGAUCACAUCGGGGAGAGGGCACGGAGCAAGAUGCAGGGAUGGUCCGAAAAGCUGAUGGCUUGUGCCGGGAGGGAAACCUUGCUAAAGUCGGUGGUUCAAGCCAUUCCAACUUACUCGAUGAGUACUUUUUUGCUCACUAAGAAAGUCUGUAAGAGUCUUACUUCUCCGAUGGCAAAAUAUUUCUGGAGUAGUUCUCUUGACAAGAAUGGGAUGCAUUGGGUGUCGUGGAAGAAUCUAGCAACACCCAAGUGCAAAGGAGGGUUUUAA
rnacentral:rRNA from 1 species